rnacentral:rRNA from 1 species
CCUACGGGCGGCAGCAGUGAGGAAUAUUGGUCAAUGGACGAGAGUCUGAACCAGCCAAGUAGCGUGAAGGAUGACUGCCCUAUGGGUUGUAAACUUCUUUUAUAUGGGAAUAAAAUGUUCCACGUGUGGGAUUUUGUAUGUACCAUAUGAAUAAGGAUCGGCUACCUCCGUGCCAGCAGCCGCGGUAAUACGGAGGAUCCGAGCGUUAUCCGGAUUUAUUGGGUUUAAAGGGAGCGUAGGUGGAUGGUUAAGUCAGUUGUGAAAGUUUGCGGCUCAACCGUAAAAUUGCAGUUGAAACUGGCAGUCUUGAGUACAGUAGAGGUGGGCGGAAUUCGUGGUGUAGCGGUGAAAUGCUUAGAUAUCACGAAGAACUCCGAUUGCGAAGGCAGUUCACUGGACUGCAACUGACACUGAGGCUCGAAAGUGUGGGUAUCAAACAGGAUUAGAUACCCCAGUAGUC